rnacentral:rRNA from 1 species
CCUANGGGCGGCAGCAGUGGGGGAUAUUGCGCAAUGGGCGAAAGCCUGACGCAGCGACGCCGCGUGGGUGAUGAAGGCCUUCGGGUCGUAAAGCCCUGUCGAGGGGAACGAAACGGUUGCGACCUAACACGUCGCAGCCCUGACGGUACCCCUAAAGGAAGCACCGGCUAACUCCGUGCCAGCAGCCGCGGUAAUACGGAGGGUGCAAGCGUUGUUCGGAAUCACUGGGCGUAAAGGGCGUGUAGGCGGUCCGUUAAGUCUGAUGUGAAAGCCCGGGGCUCACCCCCGGAAGGGCAUUGGAAACUGACGGACUCGAGUCCCGGAGAGGAGGGUGGAAUUCCUGGUGUAGCGGUGAAAUGCGUAGAUAUCAGGAGGAACACCGGUGGCGAAGGCGGCCCUCUGGACGGUGACUGACGCUGAGACGCGAAAGCGUGGGGAGCAAACAGGAUUAGAUACCCCGNUANUC